CACAUAUGGUAGGAGAGCGUUCCGUAAGCCUGAGAAGGUGUCUUGUAAAGGAUGCUGGAGGUAUCGGAAGUGCGAAUGCUGACAUGAGUAGCGAUAAAGAGGGUGAAAAGCCCUCUCGCCGAAAGCCCAAGGUUUCCUGUUCAACGUUCAUCGGAGCAGGGUGAGUCGGCCCCUAAGGCGAGGCAGAGAUGCGUAGCUGAUGGGAAGCAGGUUAAUAUUCCUGCACCGUCGUAUGAUGCGAUGGGGGGACGGAUCGCGGAAGGUUGUCCAGCUGUUGGAAUAGCUGGUUUUUGACUCAUAGAAGGUGCUUAGGCAAAUCCGGGCACGUAAUUCAAGGGGUCGAGACGUGUGUCCUUGUGACACGAAGCAAUCGGAAGUGGUUCCAAGAAAAGCCUCUAAGCUUCAGUCAUACGAGACCGUACCGCAAACCGACACAGGUGGGCGAGAUGAGUAUUCUAAGGCGCUUGAGAGAACUCGGGAGAAGGAACUCGGCAAAUUGGUACCGUAACUUCGGGAUAAGGUACGCCCCGGUAGCUUGAUUGGUUUACUCCAUGAGGGUGAAAGGGUUGCAAUAAACUGGUGGCUGCGACUGUUUAAUAAAAACACAGCACUCUGCAAACACGAAAGUGGACGUAUAGGGUGUGACGCCUGCCCGGUGCUGGAAGAUUAAAUGAUGGGGUGCAAGCUCUUGAUUGAAGUCCCAGUAAACGGCGGCCGUAACUAUAACGGUCCUAAGGUAGCGAAAUUCCUUGUCGGGUAAGUUCCGACCUGCACGAAUGGCGUAACGAUGGCCACACUGUCUCCUCCCGAGACUCAGCGAAGUUGAAAUGUUUGUGAUGAUGCAAUCUACCCGCGGCUAGACGGAAAGACCCCAUGAACCUUUACUGUAGCUUUGCAUUGGACUUUGAAUCGAUCUGUGUAGGAUAGGUGGGAGGCUUUGAAGCGUGGACGCCAGUUUGCGUGGAGCCAUCCUUGAAAUACCACCCUGGUUUAUUUGAGGUUCUAACCUUGACCCGUUAUCCGGGUCGGGGACAGUGCAUGGUAGGCAGUUUGACUGGGGCGGUCUCCUCCCAAAGUGUAACGGAGGAGUUCGAAGGUACGCUAGGUACGGUCGGACAUCGUGCUAAUAGUGCAAUGGCAUAAGCGUGCUUAACUGCGAGACUGACAAGUCGAGCAGGUACGAAAGUAGGACAUAGUGAUCCGGUGGUUCUGUAUGGAAGGGCCAUCGCUCAACGGAUG
rnacentral:rRNA from 1 species